rnacentral:rRNA from 1 species
GACAAAACGCUGGCGGCGUACCUAAGACAUGCAAGUCGAAACGGGUACGGACCCUUCGGGGUGGCGUGCUAGUGGCGGACGGGUGAGUAACGCGUAGGAACCUAUCGCACAGUGGGGGAUACCACGGGGAAACCGGUGUUAAUACCGCAUGUGGUCAGCAAAUGACGAAAAGCAGCAAAUGCGCUGUGUGCGGGGCCUGCGUCCGAUUAGCUCGUUGGUGGGGUAAAGGGCCUACCAAGGCGACGAUCGGAGCUGGUCUGAGAGGAUGGUCAGCCACACUGGGACUGAGACACGGCCCAGACUCCUACGGGAGGCAGCAGUUAGG